rnacentral:rRNA from 1 species
UACGUAGGGUGCGAGCGUUAAUCGGAAUUACUGGGCGUAAAGCGUGCGCAGGCGGUUUUGUAAGACAGGCGUGAAAUCCCCGAGCUUAACUUGGGAAUGGCGCUUGUGACUGCAAGGCUAGAGUAUGUCAGAGGGGGGUGGAAUUCCACGUGUAGCAGUGAAAUGCGUAGAGAUGUGGAGGAAUACCGAUGGCGAAGGCAGCCCCCUGGGACGUCACUGACGCUCAUGCACGAAAGCGUGGGGAGCAAACAGG